CCUAGGAAACAGCUGGGCACUUGCAGACCCUCCUUUGCACUCUGAGUGUGGACAACGAAUGGUGAGAGCCCUUGCCUCAGGUAAUGGGCAUAAUGCCAUUAGCAGGACCCUGCCAUUUGGAAACUGUUGAAUAUCUCCCAAUAAAUACACUACUACUGGGGUUCCUGAAUGUAGAGAUUCAGAAAGGUCAAGGUUCUGCUAUUCAGAACCCUGAAGAUGUGUUUUAUUGUAGAAACUAUGGAAUGAACCGGGCUAUCUAGAUUCUCCCUCCUAGAAUGCAGCUAAUCCACACCAGAUUUCAGUGUCAGAAUGGUUUAAACCUUCCAUAUCCAAUGGUACAUGCAGUUCACUCCUUCCUCUGAAG